rnacentral:rRNA from 1 species
GACGAACGCUGGCGGCGUGCUUAACACAUGCAAGUCGAACGGAAAGGCCCUGCUUUUGUGGGGUGCUCGAGUGGCGAACGGGUGAGUAACACGUGAGUAACCUGCCCUUGACUUUGGGAUAACUUCAGGAAACUGGGGCUAAUACCGGAUAGGAGCUCCUGCUGCAUGGUGGGGGUUGGAAAGUUUCGGCGGUUGGGGAUGGACUCGCGGCUUAUCAGCUUGUUGGUGGGGUAGUGGCUUACCAAGGCUUUGACGGGUAGCCGGCCUGAGAGGGUGACCGGCCACAUUGGGCCUGAGAUACGGCCCAGACUCCUACGUGAGGCAGCAGUGGGGAAUAUUGCACAAUGGGCGGAAGCCUGAUGCAGCAACGCCGCGUGCGGGAUGACGGCCUUCGGGUUGUAAACCGCUUUCGCCUGUGACGAAGCGUGAGUGACGGUAAUGGGUAAAGAAGCACCGGCUAACUACGUG